ensembl:lncRNA
GUUAGUGUUAUACGGUUGUGUUACAAUUCUUUGAAUGUUGAAACACUUCUCCAUUUGUUUUACUUACUUAAAGUGAAUGUCAUCAGACAGAAAGUGUUGUUGGGACUGAACGAUAAAUAGACUCAUAAUCCAAUGAGGUUGUCUGGACUCUAAAUCGGUCCGUUAAAAGAAACAGGGCAACAGAGUUGAAACGCUCUGAAACGUAAACCAUGUGACUGUUCCGAGCGUAAUGUUUGUUAUGUGGGCUGGUGCCAACAGACGAGUCUCUUGUGACUUUAAGGUUUAAACAUAGCCUGGGUGCUGUCUGAGGGGCCGGUCUCCUCAAUAAACUGGUUAACCAACCAUCAUCUCAAGAUUUCCUCUGUAAACAUGUUGUGGCUGUGUGUGUGUGUGUGUGUGUGUGUGUUGUAUGUUUUUCUGUGUGGUUCUAGGUGUGUAUGUGGGUGUGUGUUUGUGUGUGUGUUUGUGUGUUAGUGUGUGUCUCUAGGUGGGUGUGUGUGUGUGUGUGUGUGUGUGUGUGUGUGUGUGUGUGUGUGUGUGUGUGUGUGUGUGUGUGUGUGUGUGUGUGUGUGUGUGUGUGUGUGUGUGUGUGUGUGUGUGUGUGUGUGUGUGUGUGUGUGUGUGUGUGUGUGAGAGAGUGUGUAAGUCUGGUCAGCCCGCUCAGUGUAAUUUUCUGGGAACUCGAGGCACAGGACAAGCCUUUGUGUAGGAAACCUAACGAUCUGCUCUGUAAAUUACUGAUUCUCAUGCUGAUUACGCCGGCGCUCCAUGAUGCCGUGUUUACUCUGCGGUGAUCGCACACACACUGCAUCCUGUUUGCGUGGACGUCCGUCUGAAAGGUACACUCGGAUGAACGGUCCAGAGCGCAGCCCCGCGGGUCACUCUGAUCAGCUGCUCUCCGUCCCGUGCUACGACCUGUCACACACUUUGGGGAAAGAAAGUUUAUGUUUUUCCGGAUUUGUGACGUGACGAUGCUUCCAAAUUAAUUAGGGCACCCUGUGUCCUUGUUGCGACUGUGACAACCGUAGGAAAGCCCUCCCUCCCUCCGCCCUCCCCAUCCCCCUCCCCUCACAUUAAUAUUCAUCAGUACUAUUAUAGCUUUGGGCUAAUGCUAAUGUUGAUGUUUGACCUUGCACUCUGAGGACAAAACGAUCCUGGCCCAUGGCUCACUGUUAUUAUCAAUAAGAGUUUGAAGGAAUAUGUUUGGCGUCUUCAUUAGGUAGGAAUAAAGAACAUGUGUGUGUGUGUGUGUGUGACUUGAGUUUGUAGCAUAUUAUUAUUGUAUUUUAUUUGUGUGAAAAAAUGUGAUUGUUUGUGUGUGUAUGCGUGUAUUUAUGCCUGCAAUUGUACGAUUUUUGUACGUGGGCGCGUGAAUGUUACUUUCUUUGCAUGUGUUUGUUUGUCUGCGUGCAUUCAAGUGUUCGUGUGUGUGAUGGUGUGUAAUGAUGGAAGACAUGUCAUCAGUGUCCCGGGCCGUCCAGAGUCCUCCCCCUCAGAGCUGGUCCAGGCUGAUGGAGCAGGAGGCGGUGGGCUGUCUGGAGAGCAGCAGCAGAGGUGACCGGGAGAGAAAGAAAAUAGGAGAAAAAUAGAUUGAAACUCUUGAUACAGGAGUGCAUUCAGCACCGCACGGCCCCGAUUCCAUUAAAUCAGGUACUCUUGCUCACACAAACACACACACACACACACACACACACACACACACACACACACACACACACACACACACACACACACACACACACACACA